UGUAUGUAUAUGUAUGUAUAUCUCCUUCAUCUUUUGUCUGGUCAGUGCUUUUGGUUCUUCGUUUAAUCUUGCCUCUUGCUCGAAUUCAUUACCUUUUUUGUGCAUCAUCGGUAUGUUUUCGUAUUUGAGCGAACUGAAUUUGGGUGAUUUUUGAGGCUUCAAUUGAUACUUGGCAAGAGAAUUUAGAGACCCGUAUCUUGGCGGGGCGACCCGGAAUGCAACCCGAGGUUGCAUAUCCAUGGCAAAUCAACAGCAAAACCAUGCAACGAUGUGCUGGAAAAGGGAAAAUAACACGGAUGUAAUGAUUAGUUUUACUGAUCAGAUGGACUUGGGUGUUAUUAUUUUACCUCUGCAUCUUGAUGGGUUUGCAGCCGUGGAAGUGUCGAAGAACUCAAUGUCUGAGAUCAAUUGCUUAGUAUGAGUCUCAAAUCUUAUCAAAACAAUCUGCAGAUUUGAUUUUAGCUUGUGGAUUUGCAGUGGGCAAAAUCUUAUACAUUCUUACUAGUAAUGGUCAAGUCUUGGACUGAAAAAUAUGUUUUACUAUAAGCUUUUUUACCUCUUAUGUCUAUUGAUGUUUCAUCUACCUUUUUUGUUCUUCUUUUCCAGCAGCUCCAAGGUUAGAUGGACUAUGCCACAGUCGACAAUAGAUACUUUUGAGUUGUUGGAACAAUGUGAGCAGCUAUGUUAGGCAGAAGAAAAGGCGAAACAUGUUACCAGCUUGUAUAUGGUGGAUAAGCCCAAAAGGAGAGGAAUGCUAGGCGUUUUGAAGAGAAGCAGCUCCAUCCAGAAGAUGAAGCUGAACUGCAUACUGCUUUUUCAUUUUUGUUGUAAAGAAAGAAGUGAAAAAUGAUGAUGAUUCUAUACUAAACAUUAGAGGUUUCUUGUAAAAUGAACAAAAUAUGUUUAGUUGUUGUUUUUCUGUUUUAUUUUUGAAAUAUGUACAGAGGCCUCAGCACAUCCUUUGUGCUGGUUGAUAUAAUACAAAUGUUACCAUUAUCAAAA